GCUGCUGUUGAUCUUGUUUUUGGAGUAAAACACGGUGGAAGCUGAAUUAGUGAGGAUGACUCUUGCUCCUGUCAUCUCUAAGCUCCUCACACAUCUUUACCUGCACAUGAGGAAAAUCACUCCUGUAGAAUGCAGUGGUUCAUCAGAACCUCUGGGGAUGUCCUGUGGAUUCUGUGGAUCCUGUGGGUUGCAGGGUGGGUCCUACCUAGACCAGGCUGAUCCUGGACCAUCCCACAGAUGCUCCAUCAGAUCUGGAUGUGGGGAGUGUGGAACCCAGAUGUUCAGAGGGAGAUGAUGCCACAUCUGGUCCAGCUGAUGGAAGGUCUUGAAGUUCUCUGACUGGCCUCGACUGAAGAUGGUCGUCUCACUGGAUUUAAGGUUCAGAUGCUCAGUAACAAACUCCACCAAUGAGCCAACAGGGAAGCUUUAGGUUUAUUAAAUGUUGCUAUGAAGGUAUCGCUGUUUUUCUUUGUGAAUGCAAUGUGCUCCAACUGAAACUUGAAUUAGAACUUAGAAGUAAAUCCUUCCAUCUGAAAGGAUUUAGUUGCAUUAAUAACCUCAUAACAUUCUAAUUUUUAUUCCAGUCUUGGUUGGAAAUAGAAUCUCUGUAUUGAUUCAGGUAAAAACUGAACUUCACAGCAUGUUGGAGCAAAACAACCAGAUGAAAACUGUGAUGGUGUUGGAUUGUCAGACCGUAAUGUUGCAGCUCAAAGCAGCUUUUCUAUCUCAGUUCAUUCUGACAUUCAGCUAUGAAUCAACACAGCAGAUGGUGAUCCAUGCUGUGGAAGUCUCACAUCUCCUGAUUUAAUGGAGCUGCUUUGCACUUUUUACACUGUUUAUUCACCAACACUUUAUUUAAUAAAAGUCCCAUCUAGUUUUUAUGAGGAAUGUGAUGUUUUAAUUUCUCUGUGAAUAACUGCAGUCUAAUGCAACAGCUGGAGUUGUAACAUCUGUCCUGAUAUUGAUCAUGAAGUAUUGAUCAGAAUACUUAUGGUUAGCAGUCAUCCCUGAAGUUUUACAUUAAAAUCUUUACUUGUGUUGUGAACUUUGGUAAGAAGCAGAAACGUUAGCGUUGCCAUGGAUACAUGAGUGUUAAAUUCUGUCCAUGUUUCCAUUUUGGGAAAUGCAGUCCAGUUCCAGAAUGUGGAGGAAUUUAGUCUCACAAUCACAGACAACAAAUAUUAUCUGAAAGUCGGGUUAUUGUUGUUUAUCAGCACAAUACAAAAAGAUUAAUGUUAGAAAUAUUCCAGUUAAGACUCUAGAAUAUCAUGAUUUAUGUAAAUUUACCUCAAUAAUAUGAAUGUUCAGGUUAAGAUUGUACAGUGAUAUUUAUUAUGUUUAGCUGAUUAAAGUUUAUGACUCUGCACUAAAAUAUUAUUUAAAUUGACAUCAUUAUUAUAAUAUUUAGGGUCAGACCCUACAGUAUUGAGAUUAAGAAAUCAAAUAUUCUAUAAAAUGUAAAUACACUGAACUCAUUUGGAUAUAUUUAAGUGAGACUCUACAAUAUUAUUUGACACAAAUCUAUCUAAAUCAAAAUUUUAAUAAUUUUCACACCAAACAUUUACUGGACUGAUUUAAAUAUUAAAAUCACUCCUUUCUAAUCCUCUGCUGUACGUUCAAACCUGAGGCCUUAAAUAGAAACACACAAGUAUCUGAUUGAAGGAACUUCUGCAGAGUCCUGGUUCCAGAACAUGAUGAUAGAAUUAUAGACAAACUUUAACAAAAGCUGCCUGAGAGUUUACAGGUUUUUAUGUUGGAUUUCUUCAGUAAUUUAAUGAGUUAUCAGCAAUAAUCAAGUGUUCAUUUGAUGAACUUCAUUUCCUAAAACAUCCAGAAUUGGAGCUCAUAUCUUUGGCAGCUGUAAAGUUUCUGCUCCUUCAAAGUUCACAACACAAUGAAUGAAUUCCUAAAACACUCUCAAUGCUGGAGAGCGUUUGUGAUGCUGAAGCAGUGACAGUUUUUCUGUUUCUUCUCUGGAGAUGCACAAUGAGGGACGUCUGCAGAGACUGAGAAAGAGUCUCACCACAUCCUGACAUGAGGAAAAAGACUUUAUUGAAGACUACAAUGAGAAAAACUAUCAGACAGCAGACGGCUGCAUUCAAGGCUACAGGAGGAGCCCUACGAGGACGAGCCGGUCCACCUGAUGGUGGCCAGUCGCUGCGGUUCAAAGCCAACACCGACUACGUGGACUUCUACUGGACCACAUGGAGGCCUUCAAACCGGACCAACAAGUUCAGCGACUCCCCGACUCGUGGGUCUGAGGACGCCGCCGAGCCUCGGUCCAGCCGGCCUCCUGUCUGUGGGUGUUUGAGUGCUGAGAGGUUUGUGGAUGCAUGUGAACGUUCUGUGUUGAAACAGCAGCUUUGACUCAGUAACGCCGGUAAAAACCAAGAGCUCCUUUAUUUGUGACUUCCACUAAAAAAACUGAUGAAAAUAAGUUUGCCAGGGUUCUGACUGAUAACAGAUUAUUAAAUAAUGAAAAUAAUCGUUUAAAUAUUCCUUUAAACAAUCCUUUUAGGUCUACAUUUCCUUUACACUGACUUCUUGGUAUAUGUACAAGUAUUUUGGGUGGAAUAUACCAUUAAGCCCGAUGUUCAAGGGUUCUUCUGGGAAUAUACCAUUAAACCAACCUUUUAGGUAAAUGUUCCAGGAUGUUGGGUAGAAUAUACCAUCAGAUCAACCUUUUAGGUCUACAUUGGAAGAUUUUAGAGUAGAAUAUUACUCCAAACCAUCCUUUAGGUCUACAUUUAAGGUGGAAUACUCCUUUACACCAAGAUUUUUUGGUCUACAUUGAAGGAUUUUAGGUGGAAUAUUCCUUUGAACGAACUUUUUAAGUUUAUGUUCAAGGAUGUUGGGUGGAAUAUACCAUCAGACCAACCUCCAAGGUCUACAGUAGUGAAUUUUAGGUGGAAUAUACCAUUAAACUCACCUUUUAGGUCUACAUUGGAGGAUUUUAGGUGGAAUUUUCUUCCAAACCGUCUUUUAGUCUACAUUUAAGGAUGUUUAGGAUGGUAUAUUCUUCCGAACCAACUUCUCAGGUCUACAUUUCAGGUGGAAUAUUCCUCCAUACUAACUUUUUUGGUCUACAUUGAAGGAUUUUUUCUAAACCACCCUUUCGGGUCUAUAUUUGAGGUUUUAGGUGGAAUAUUCCUUUUAACCAGCCCCUCAGGUCUCUUUGAGGAUUUUGGAUGGAAUACUCGGUUAAACCAACAUUUUAGGUGCAUGUCCAAGGAUUUUUGGUGGAAUGUUCCUUUAAGGUGGAUGUUUGAGGACCUUGUAGGUGGAAUACUUCCUGAAACCAACCUUUUAGGUCAACAUUCAAAGAUUUAAGGUGGAAUAUUCCUUUAAACCAACCUAAAUUUCAUGUUUUGAUCAUUAUCAAGUGAGAAACCUCAAUCCAGACUCCUCAUAAUGACGUUUGAGAUUUAUGCUGCUGUUAUUUGUUUAGUCCAGACUAAAUGACAGAAAUCCACAACUGUAAUUUUAUUUCAGGACUCGGUUAUUAAAUGUCAAAACAAUCCAUGUGACUCUAAAAACUCAACAGCUUUACAAACUCUAAGAUUAAACUCUCCACAAGGAUCCAAAAUAAGUUGGACUUCUACAUGAGAGCUUUAAUUAUUCUUCAUCUACUUCCUGAAAAGUUUGGUCAAUAAAAAAGACAAAAACUAAUAUUUUCAGCUGAACUAAAGACAGACUUUGUGAUUUUUCUGCUCACAUGUUGUGUUGUUGUAAACUUACUCUUUCAAAUAAAUAGCCGCCUAACCCCCUGGAAACCAGCGUUUGUCCUGUUUUUGUGUUGCUCCUCGGCGACCCUAGACAGCCGGGUCGUAAUGUUUUUUGAGCAACACACCAUACUAUGACGUUUUUACAAUGAUGGUUCUACUAUGGAACCAGUUUGACAUGUUCAGGUUCUUUGUGUGAAAACUCAGAGAUUUCAGGUAUCAGAAGGUGGUUUUCAACUUUCUUUGUUAACUUUCUGCUUCAACUUUAAACUAAAUUUCCUUCACUAACCCAGCCCUCUGGACUUCCAGUAAGCUGUGUUCCUAUUGGCUGUCCAGGUGGCUGCUUGGUGUUAUCAGGAACACCUGAGCAGCUCAGUGUCUUCCUGCUUUAUUUAGCUGCAGACAAACAUUUCCUCUGCUUCUCUUCACCACUGAACCGGGUUUGGCUCCAUUGCUUUAGUUUGUUCUUUAGGCGUUGGCUUGCAGCUUCCAGCAGUAAAAUCGUCUUUAAUGUGUUUCUUGGUGUGUUUUAGGGCUUUGUACUGGAUAGUUGUCUUGGUAAAUGUGGUUCUUUAGCCACAGUUAGCACAUGGUGCUAAUGUGUGCAGUGAUUAGUGGAUUUGGUGCAGCUGAGUUGUGUCUUUAUCUUGGCUGUAGUGAGUCUUUAGAGGUUUUUGGUCAGACACAUUCUGUAUUCUUGUUUGAGAACCAACGUUGGUUGUCCAGAAGGUAAGAGUUCCUGUCCUGAUUCUCUGUUCUCAGAGGUUCUCUGGUAGGCUGCAGGAGACUUUAGCGUUUGGGUUGUGCUAGUUUGGUUUUUGUAUGGUUUCAUUUGGACGACUAUCUUGAGGCCCCUCCAUGUGGUUUAGUGAGGUUUUCUGCAACAGUUCUACAAAGCAACCUGCAGCAGAAGAGACUUUGAGAGUUUUUAGGAAGUUCUGGAGACCAGACUUUAGAGCAGCAGAAACAUUUGUCAGCAGUUUGAGCAGGAGAAGGUGAGCUUCAGAGUAGAAAUGAGACAGAAACCUUCUUGACCCGUGU